GACAGAGGGUGCAAACGUUGUUCGGAAUUACUGGGCGUAAAGCGCGUGUAGGCGGCCCUGCAAGUCGGGUGUGAAAUCCCACGGCUCAACCGUGGAAGUGCACUCGAAACUGCAGGGCUAGAGUCCUGGAGAGGAAGGUGGAAUGCUUGGUGUAGAGGUGAAAUUCGUAGAUAUCAAGCGGAACACCGGUGGCGAAGGCGGCCUUCUGGACAGUGACUGACGCUGAGACGCG
rnacentral:rRNA from 1 species